UACGGAGGGUGCAAGCGUUAAUCGGAAUUACUGGGCGUAAAGCGCACGUAGGCGGUUCGUUAAGUCGGAUGUGAAAUCCCCGGGCUCAACCUGGGACCUGCAUUCGAUACUGGCGAACUUGAGUAUGAUAGAGGGGGGUGGAAUUCCAGGUGUAGCGGUGAAAUGCGUAGAUAUCUGGAGGAACAUCAGUGGCGAAGGCGGCCCCCUGGAUCAAUACUGACGCUGAGGUGCGAAAGCGUGGGGAGCAAACAGG
rnacentral:rRNA from 1 species